rnacentral:lncRNA from 1 species
AUGGCUUUUUCUAUUUCAAAGAACUGUGUGGCCUGUGGCUGUAAGCUGCCUGAGGCAGACGGCCAUGAUAAAUGUCUUGUAUGUUUGGGGGAGGCUCAUGGAGCAAAGAAUUGUUUGGUUUGUGCGGCCCUUACACCGCAAGCCCGUAAAAGCAGGGAGAAAACGCUAAAAGCUCUAGUCUUGGAGAGAGUUCUCUUCCCAGUCCCAUCUACAAGCGGCUCCCGAACGCCACGGCAGGGUAAGCCAGCUGAACACCGGGAACUUACUUCCUUGCUGGCAGCCUCGCCGGCUCCAAAGAGAGCACAUUCCACUCCUCCUGCUCUUCCUACUCCCCAGAAGACCUCCAUUGCUGCAGCUGACAGCCGCAAGGGGACGAAGAAGCGUGCAGCAUCUGAGGCACGCAGCGCAGCCAUGCCCACGGUGCUGAUGUCGCCAGAAAGGAUACGGCAGCUGGCUCCGCCCAUGACGUCUGGGCAAGAGCAUGGAGGCAAGGCGCGCAUUAUGCCCCUGACGCAGGCCUCGCCAGCUCCGGUCAUGGGUGUGGCCCUGCUCCCCAAGGUGGAGACAGCCCACCCGCCGGGAGAAGAGCUACUGCCGCCCACUCUCCCUGCAGGGAUGGGAGAAAGCCGCGGGGUGAGGAAAAAAGCAGCUGAGCCCACUGCUGGGCAGCCUGCUUCUGGAGAGGCCAGUGUAAGGAGUACUAUGUCUCCGUUUCUCACUGCCUCCCAAACUAUGGAUCCUCCUCGUGAGGAAGGGGUAUUGUUUUCUCCGCAGCCAAGUGCUGCCUCUUUUCUUUCACAUACUCCAUUAAGCCGUAGCCAUAGCCAAGGCUUUUUUCCAUCGCCUCCACAGAGGCAAACACUAAGCACUGUCCCUACGGAGUGGAGUAGACCAUUUACUCCCCGGGCAGAUUAUGUUCAUCGCUCUCCAGGAGGAAGGGCUUAUCUUUUCGGGCCCAUAUUGGUCCAAGACCAACAGAUGCCUCACCCAACCUCAAUCCCAAUACAAGUAGAUCCUGUUGCACAAUCUAUGCAUCAAGGCCUCAGCACUGCUAUUGUUCUGGCUUUAGGAGCUGAUAUUCCAUCACAUUCUGCAUCAGAAUCUGACUCUGAUGAAGGAAAGGAGGAUGUGCAAGCAGUGGAACUCCCAGUGGAGCCAGAGACAUCAAGUUUUAUAACUCUGAUGUCACGCCUGUCUAGGGCACUGGAAUUGCCUGUCACUGAGGCAAAUCAGCCCCUGGCAUGCCAUCUUUUCCCAGCAGAAGAGCAGCGUCAAGCAGCUCAUUCAGCUACAGCUUUGCCUGCAGAACCAUAUUUAUUACGGCUUGCAACUGCACAAGACAUUGCCCCAUCACUGAUAGGCGCAGUUCCACGAAGGAGUGAUGCCUUGUAUAAGAUAGACCUAACUUCUGCUCAAUGGGUCGCAAAGCCACCUAGACCUAAUUCGGUAGUCACCAAGGUAAUGCAGAACAAACGUUCAGCGAAGACCCAUUUGACACUCUCGGAUAAAGAGGGCAGGAAAUUGGAAGCAGUAGGCAAGAAAGUACACUUAGGGGCAGGAUUGUCAACACGUUUUGCACAUUAUGGAGCCUACAUGGCAGCCUACCAGAACGAUCUAUGGCAAAAGAUAGCUCCUUACUUGGAGGCUUUGCCACAGGACAAACAUGCUCUUGCUAAAGUUAUCCAGCAAGAGGGUCUGGCCUUAGCCAAGUCACAAAAGGAAAUGGCAAAAGACACAGCAGAAGGAGCAAGCAGAAUGUUUGCAGCUACGACUGUUAUCCGCAGACAUGCUUGGCUACGGGCCUCCACACUAUCUGAAGAAGGCAAGCUUCUAGCAGAGGAUCUACCGGUCAAUGACAAGGGUCUCUUUGAUCCGGAGACAGAUGCAAAGCUUAAGGAGGCCCAGGAGGUUCGCCAGGCGGCGAACAAAUAUGGUUUUCCUCCAGCGUCCCGCUAUCGGGGCAAAUCAUAUCCAACUGCCUCUUAUACUAGGAAGCAGUAUGACACCACUAGCAAACCCCCUUCCACAAACCUCUCAGACAACUUACACUCGGCCAGUGGCACCAUCUAG